ensembl:lncRNA
CCCCCUGUCGGUACCCCCACGUUGUUAUUUUUACAACUUUAACUACAAACUAUGAACAAUAUAUGAACUGUUCAAAGUUCACAGAUUACAGCGUUUCCCCUCUGUAACAGCCGGAAGUGUAGUUAAUUGGAAUUUGGGGAAUAUUAUUCAUUCAAUUUUAGAUGCAUGCUCAUUGAAACUAAAGAUGUAACAUACAUUGAAAAGCAUUUACGUUAGAUUGAUGCUCCUUGUUCGUCUCAAAGUGUUGACGUGCAGCACAGAAGAGCUCCGGUACGGUAGUUACUCGAGAUACCUUUACUGGCAAGACUCAAGUGCAGAUGAUGCUCGGAGGGACCUGGAGCAAAUCACCAUGGCAAUAUUUGUUGUCUUUCGGAAAGAGGGGAAAGGACUGCAGGAGCCACCUGAAGACAUUAGCAUCGUCAUUGAGGUGCUCCAGAAGAUAAUCAUGGAGCUUGAUCAGCAGAAGAUGUCCCCCAAGGUCCAUAAUCUGUAUGGCAGACUUCAAACACAAUAGUGUUUCGAUAUGGGGCAUUUCACUAUUCAGCCCCUUUGGAUGUUGGGCCUUUGUUAGCUCCAAGAUAAAAAUGUUAAGAUACAAUGUUGUUUUAUAUAUAUUAUCACUUGAUUGUAUACAAAUGCUUCUAUCAUACAUAUGAUUUUUGGGGAAAAAGUUCAAUUUCUGUCAGGUGUUCCCAAACAUUGUUACAUAUCAGAAGGCCAAAUGUGACUUGGCAUGGUUAUGCAUUUUGUGCAUAUUUAUGUUAAAAAAAACACUGGAAACAAAUACAAGCAAUACAUUUUGAAAGCCAUCAAA